UAGGUGUUUGGAGAUGUCCUGUGUUUUGU
rnacentral:piRNA from 1 species